GACGAACGCUGGCGGCGCGCUUAACACAUGCAAGUCGAGCGAAGCGGCGGACGGGUGAGUAACACGUGAGUAAACUGCCUUAGACAUUGGGAUAGCCUCGGGAAACCGGGAUUAAUACCAAAUGGUCUAAGAUGGACUCGCGUCCCAUAAGCAAGUGGGUGAGGUAACGGCCCACCAAGGCGACGAUGGGUAGCCGGCGUGUGAGGGUGAACGGCCACAUUUGAGCUGAGAAACAGUCCAAAAUCUACGGGAGGCAGCAGUGGGGAAUACUGCACAAUGGAGGGAACUCUGAUGCAGCGACGCCGGUUGAGCGAAGAAGGCUUUCGAGUCGUAAAGUUCUUUUAUAUGGGAAGCGGUACCAUAAGAAAAAGCCCCGGCUAACUACGUGCCAGCAGCCGCGGUAAUUC
rnacentral:rRNA from 1 species